UUCAUACUCCCUCCGUCCGAAAAUACUUGUUAUCAAAAUGGACAAAAAGGGAUGUAUCUAGAACUAAAAUACAUCUAGAUACAUCCACUUUUAUUCAUUUUGAUGACAAGUAUUUUCGGACGGAGGGAGUACCAG
rnacentral:pre_miRNA from 1 species